AACUUUCAACAACGGAUCUCUUGGUUCUGGCAUCGAUGAAGAACGCAGCGAAAUGCGAUAAGUAAUGUGAAUUGCAGAAUUCAGUGAAUCAUCGAAUCUUUGAACGCACAUUGCGCCCUGUGGUAUUCCGCAGGGCAUGCCUGUUCGAGCGUCAUUAUAGCCACUCAAGCCUCGCUUGGUGUUGGGGCUCGCAAUCUUGCG
rnacentral:rRNA from 3 species